GCUCAGGUGUCUCAGAUGGUUAAGAAUCUGCCUGUAAUUCAGUAAACCCGGGUUUUAUCCCUGGUUUGGGUA
rnacentral:tRNA from 1 species